AAAAAGGCAAACCAUGCGUUUCCGUGUCCAACUUUGACUGUCCGUCUUAUAUGAUUUUUUUUUAUAAUUCGUAUUUUCGUUGUUGUUAGAUGAUAAAAUAUGAUUAAUAUUUUAUGCGUAACUUGUCCUUUUAAUUUUUUUUAUAAUUUUUUAAAAUAAGACGGACGGUCAAACGUUGGAUACGGAAACCAAUGUUUGUCUUUUUU
rfam:Oryza nivara chromosome 8, whole genome shotgun sequence.